rnacentral:rRNA from 1 species
GAACGGUAACAUUUCUAGCUUGCUAGAAGAUGACGAGUGGCGGACGGGUGAGUAAUGCUUGGGAACUUGCCUUUGCGAGGGGGAUAACAGUUGGAAACGACUGCUAAUACCGCACAAUGUCUUCGGACCAAACGGGGCUUCGGCUCCGGCGCAAAGAGAGGCCCAAGUGAGAUUAGCUAGUUGGUAAGGUAACGGCUUACCAAGGCGACGAUCUCUAGCUGUUCUGAGAGGAAGAUCAGCCACACUGGGACUGAGACACGGCCCAGACUCCUACGGGAGGCAGCAGUGGGGAAUAUUGCACAAUGGGGGAAACCCUGAUGCAGCCAUGCCGCGUGUGUGAAGAAGGCCUUCGGGUUGUAAAGCACUUUCAGUUGUGAGGAAAAGUUAGUAGUUAAUACCUGCUAGCCGUGACGUUAACAACAGAAGAAGCACCGGCUAACUCCGUGCCAGCAGCCGCGGUAAUACGGAGGGUGCGAGCGUUAAUCGGAAUUACUGGGC